rfam:Schistosoma haematobium scaffold1059_2, whole genome shotgun sequence.
CUGCUGAGGAGUCCCAUACUAGGACGAAACGGCCGUCCAGUGC